rnacentral:RNase_P_RNA from 2 species
AGAGCGGGUGAGGUGAUCGCUCUCCGGCAACGGAGGGAGGAAAGUCCGAGCUCCGCAGGGCAAGGCGGUCCCGAAACGGGACAGGGGGCGACCCCAUGGAUAGUGCCACAGAAAAGAAGACCGCCCGCAAGGGUAAGGGUGAAACGGUGGGGUAAGAGCCCACCAGAUUCCCGGGCGACCGGGAGUGCUUGGAAAACCCCGCCUGGAGCAAGGUCACAUAGGGAAGCGUCCCCCGUAAGGGGGUAAGGACGGCCCGUCCGAGACUUCCGGGUAGAUCGCUCGUGCUUUCGAGCAAUCGAAGGCCCAGAUAAAUGAUCACCACUUCCGGGAAACCGGGAGGACAGAACUCGGCUUACGACCCGCUCUGAUC